GAUGAACGCUGACAGAAUGCUUAACACAUGCAAGUCUUUGGCGAACAUGCGCUUGCGCAGUCUAGCCAAGGCGGACGGGUGAGUAACGCGUAAGGAACUUGCCCUGCAGACAGGUAUAACAGACGGAAACGACUGAUAAGACCUGGUAUUGUCAGGCUGGCGCAUGCCGCGCCUGAUGAAAAGAGAUGCUGCAGGAGAGCCUUGCGUCCUAUUAGCUUGUUGGUGGGGUAACGGCCCACCAAGGCGAUGAUAGGUAGCCGGCCUGAGAGGGUGAACGGCCACAAGGGGACUGAGAUACGGCCCUUACUCCUACGGGAGGCAGCAGUGGGGAAUAUUGGACAAUGGGGGCAACCCUGAUCCAGCAAUUCUGUGUGCACGAAGAAGGUUUUCGGAUUGUAAAGUGCUUUCAGCAGGGAAGAAGAAAGUGACGGUACCUGCAGAAGAAGCGACGGCUAAAUACGUGCCAGCAGCCGCGGUAAUACGUAUGUCGCAAGCGUUAUCCGGAAUUAUUGGGCAUAAAGGGCAUCUAGGCGGCCCUGUAAGUCUAGGGUGAAAACCUGCGGCUCAACCGCAGGCCUGCCCCGGAAACUACAGGGCUAGAGUGCCGGAGAGGUGGACGGAACUGCACGAGUAGAGGUGAAAUUCGUAGAUAUGUGCAGGAAUGCCGAUGAUGAAGAUAGUUCACUGGACGGCAACUGACGCUGAAGUGCGAAAGCUAGGGGAGCGAACAGG
rnacentral:rRNA from 1 species